rnacentral:rRNA from 1 species
UGAUAUGCUUGUCUCAAAGACUAAGCCAUGCAAGUCUAAGUACAUGCCGAAUUAAGGUGAAACCGCGAAUGGCUCAUUAAAUCAGUUAUGGUUCCUUAGAUCGUACUUUUCUACUUGGAUAACUGUGGCAAUUCUAGAGCUAAUACAUGCAGCAGAGCUCCGACCUUCGGGGACGAGCGCUUUUAUUAGACCAAGACCAAUCGGACUUCGGUCCGUAUACCACGGCGACUCUGGAUAACUUUGGGCUGAUCGCACGAUCUAGCAUCGGCGAUAUUUCUUUCAAGUGUCUGCCUUAUCAACUGUCGAUGGUAGGUUAUGCGCCUACCAUGGUCGUAACGGGUAACGGGGAAUCAGGGUUCGAUUCCGGAGAGGGAGCCUGAGAAACGGCUACCACAUCCAAGGAAGGCAGCAGGCGCGCAAAUUACCCACUCCCGGCACGGGGAGGUAGUGACGAAAAAUAACAAUACGGGACUCUCUUGAGGCCCCGUAAUUGGAAUGAGUACAAUCUAAAUCCUUUAACGAGGAUCUAUUGGAGGGCAAGUCUGGUGCCAGCAGCCGCGGUAAUUCCAGCUCCAAUAGCGUAUAUUAAAGUUGUUGCGGUUAAAAAGCUCGUAGUUGGAUCUCAGUUACAGACAGGCGGUCCACCUUACGGUGGCUACUGCCUGGCCUGAACGUCCUGCCGGUUUUCUCUCGGUGCUCUUCAUUGAGUGUCUUGAGUGGCCGGCACGUUUACUUUGAAAAAAUUAGAGUGCUCAAAGCAGGCGCGACGCCUGAAUAAUGGUGCAUGGAAUAAUGGAAUAGGACCUCGGUUCUAUUGUGUUGGUUUUCGGAACACGAGGUAAUGAUUAAGAGGGACAGACGGGGGCAUUCGUAUUGCGACGCUAGAGGUGAAAUUCUUGGACCGUCGCAAGACGAACUACUGCGAAAGCAUUUGCCAAGAAUGUUUUCAUUAAUCAAGAACGAAAGUUAGAGGUUCGAAGGCGAUCAGAUACCGCCCUAGUUCUAACCAUAAACGAUGUUGACCAGCGAUCCGCCUGAGUUUCUCAAUUGACUCGGCGGGCAGCUUCCGGGAAACCAAAGUUUUUGAAUUCCGGGGGAAGUAUGGUUGCAAAGUCGAAACUUAAAGGAAUUGACGRAAGSGCACCACCAGGAGUGGAGCCUGCGGCUUAAUUUGACUCAACACGGGAAAACUUACCCGGCCCGGACACCGGAAGGAUUGACAGAUUAAGAGCUCUUUCUUGAUUCGGUGGGUGGUGGUGCAUGGCCGUUCUUAGUUGGUGGAGCGAUUUGUCUGGUUAAUUCCGAUAACGAACGAGACUC